rnacentral:rRNA from 1 species
UGAGUACGAGAUGCUACGGCAUUGAAGCAGUCUAUGUCAUACUUCCAAGAAAAGCUUGCACUGUCAUAAACAAAUAAUGCCUGUACCAUAACCGACACAGGUGGGUAGGUAGAGUAUACUAAGGGGCGCGAGAUAACUCUCUCUAAGGAACUCGGCAAAAUGACUCCGUAACUUCGGGAGAAGGAGUGCCUUAUUUUUAUAAGGUUGCAAUAACAAGAUCCAAGCAACUGUUUACCAAAAACACAGGUCUCCGCUAAGUCGUAAGACGAUGUAUGGGGGCUGACGCCUGCCCAGUGCCAGAAGGUUAAAGAAGUUGGUUAGCAUUAGCGAAGCUGAUAACUGAAGCCCUGGUGAACGGCGGCCGUAACCAUAACGGUCCUAAGGUAGCGAAAUUCCUUGUCGGGUAAGUUCCGACCCGCACGAAAGGCGUAAUGAUUUGGAUACUGUCUCGGAGAGGGGCUCGGUGAAAUAGACUUGUCUGUGAAGAUGCGGACUACCUGCACCUGGACAGAAAGACCCUAUGAAGCUUUACUGUAACUUGAGAUUGAAAUUGGACUUUAUCUGCGCAGUAUAGGUGGGAGACGUUGAAAAUAUUCUUGUGGGAAUAUUCGAGUCAUCAGUGAGAUACCACUCUUAUAAUGUUAGAUUUCUAACUUUGUAUCAUUAUCUGGUCAAAGAACAGUUUCAGGCGGGCAGUUUGACUGGGGCGGUCGCCUCCCAAACGGUAACGGAGGCGCACAAAGGUUUCCUCUGAACGUGUAGAAAUCGUAUCUAGAGUGUAAAGGCAUAAGGAAGCUUGACUGUGAGACCUACAAGUCGAGCAGGGACGAAAGACGGUCUUAGUGAUCUGACGGUGCUGAGUGGAAAGGCCGUCACUCAACGGAUAAAAGUUACUCUAGGAUAACAGGCUGAUCUCCCCCAAGAGUUCACAUCGACGGGGAGGUUUGGCACCUCGAUGUCGGCUCAUCGCAUCCUGGGGCGGUAGUACGUCCCAAGGGCUGGGCUGUUCGCCCAUGAAAGCGGUACGCGAGCUGGGUUCAGAACGUCGUGAGACAGUUCGGUCCAUAUCCGGUGUAGGCGUUAGAAUAUUGAGAGGAGCCUUCUUUAGUACGAGAGGACCGAGAAGGACAUACCUAUGGUGUACCAGUUAUCGUGCCAACGGUAAACGCUGGGUAGCUAUGUAUGGAGAGGAUAACCGCUGAAAGCAUCUAAGUGGGAAGCCCACCUCAAGAUAAGUAUUCCC